UAUGGGUGUCCAAGCAUGGAAGAGCUUGAAUGCUACAAUCAGAAAUACAAGACAAGAUUAGAUGAAGUUGGAGCGCUAGGAGAGAUACCUGUUGAUUUGGCUCUGGAGGUUUCAUCCCCAGGCGCUGAGAGGCUACUAAAAGUGCCAGAUGAUAUUAGUCGAUUCAAAGACAUGACUAUGAGAGUCUGUUAUACUGAAAAUAUAGAGUCCAAUUGCCCAGAAAGGGAUGGAGUUUUUUUGUUAGAUUCUAUAGAAAAUGACUCGGAGAUGUGUGUGUGGAAGUUUGCAGACGUUAAAGAGAAUAGAGACCCCCUUAAAAAAGGCAGACCUUUAAGUCGUAAACAGAAGGAUUGGAGAUUAAAACUGCCAUUUAACUUGCAUACAAUGGUAACUUUGUACCUUGAAUAAUUGUUAAGAUUUAAUCUUAUUUUGAUUCAGGAAC